CCCCUCUCUCUCUCUCUCUCUCUCAAAAUCUGGAAACCCUUUUCUUCUUCUUCAUCUCCACCACAAACUCCCACCCACACCACCUGCCACCAUACCACCUAUGUCUGUGACCGCCGCCGCCAGAAUAACCAACAAAUCUGGCACCAUCUUUACCGCCGCUUAUGACGCCGCUGCCGGAAACCCUAGAUAUGGGUCGGGAACUUCGUUUGGUGCCAUUUGGUGUAAAGAGUAAUGUUUCUCUUCUAAAGGAUAGUUUUGAUUCAGAUCCAACACAAGAGAUUCAGAUCUAGCACUAAUUUUGGAACCUCAUUUUCAUAUUUGUGUAAACAACUUAUUUUUACUUGGAUUUCAGGUUGCCUAUGUCAUUUUCUGCAUUACUUCUUUAUGCAGGCAUCUCAAUUAAAGAGGCAGUAUGAUGACUGGUUGAAGAUGAUAGUGGUUGUAAUGGGGGUUAAAAAGUAAACAUGGUGGUUGAAGAUCUGAAAAGGAUGGAAGCAGUGGUAGUGGGGAUCUGCAGAGAGAGGGGGGGUGAGUGAGUGUUGGUCGGAGUGAUGGUUGAUAGGCGUUUAGGUGGUAUAGAGAUGAAGUUACAGGUGUUUUAGAGAGAGAGAGAGAGAGAGAGAGAGAUAUGAGAGUCUGUGUGAGUAUUUGGUUUAUAAAUAUAUUUUAUUGUUUUUUUUCUUUUUUUAAAUGUAUUUUUCUAAGUAAAAAGGUAAAAUUACAAAAUUACCUUCAUGUGAAUAGACUUAACUUAAAAUUUUUAA